rnacentral:sRNA from 1 species
AAAGAUGUGCUAAAAACGAUGAUGUCA